CGCCUGGGGAGUACGGCCGCAAGGUUAAAACUCAAAUGAAUUGACGGGGGCCCGCACAAGCGGUGGAGCAUGUGGUUUAAUUCGAAGCAACGCGAAGAACCUUACCUACUCUUGACAUCCAGAGAACCUUUUAGAGAUAGAAGGGUGCCUUCGGGAACUCUGAGACAGGUGCUGCAUGGCUGUCGUCAGCUCGUGUUGCGAAAUGUUGGGUUAAGUCCCGCAACGAGCGCAACCCUUAUCCUUGUUUGCCAGCACUUCGGGUGGGAACUCCAGGGAGACUGCCGGUGAUAAACCGGAGGAAGGUGGGGACGACGUCAAGUCGUCAUGGCCCUUACGAGUAGGGCUACACACGUGCCACAAUGGCAUAUACAGAGGGCUGCCAACUCGCGAGGGUGAGCGAAUCCCAUAAAGUAUGUCGUAGUCCGGAUUGGAGUCUGCAACUCGACUCCAUGAAGUCGGAAUCGCUAGUAAUCGUGGAUCAGAAUGCCACGGUGAAUACGUUCCCGGGCCUUGAACACACCGCCCGUC
rnacentral:rRNA from 1 species